rnacentral:rRNA from 1 species
CCGGGAUGAGCUCAAAUUUAAAAUCUGGCGUCUUUCAGGCGUCCGAGUUGUAAUCUAUAGAGGCGUUUUCCGCGCCGGACCGCGUCCAAGUCUCUUGGAAUAGAGUAUCAAAGAGGGUGACAAUCCCGUACUUGACGCGACAACCGGUGCUCUGUGAUACGUUCUCAAUGAGUCGAGUUGUUUGGGAAUGCAGCUCUAAAUGGGUGGUAAAUUCCAUCUAAGGCUAAAUAUUGGCGAGAGACCGAUAGCGAACAAGUACCGUGAGGGAAAGAUGAAAAGCACUUUGGAAAGAGAGUUAAACAGCACGUGAAAUUGUUAAAAGGGAAACGAUUGAAGUCAGUCGUGUGAAAGGUAUUCAGCCGUCUCUGGCGGUGUAUUUGCCUUUCACGGGUCAACAUCAGUUUGAUCCGGUAGAAAAAGGCAGGAGGAAGGUGGCACCCUCGGGUGUGUUAUAGCCUCUUGUCAUAUGUGCCGGACCAGACUGAGGAACGCAGCUUGCCGCAAGGCCGGGGUUCGCCCACGUACAAGCUUAGGAUGUUGACAUAAUGGCUUUAAACGACCCGUCUU